rnacentral:rRNA from 1 species
AGUGAACGCUGGCGGUAGGCCUAACACAUGCAAGUCGAACGGCAGCACAGUAAGAGCUUGCUCUUACGGGUGGCGAGUGGCGGACAGGUGAGGAAUACAUCGGAAUCUACUUUUUCGUGGGGGAGAACGUAGGGAAACUUACGCUAAUACCGCAUACGACCUACGGGUGAAAGCAGGGGAUCUUCGGACCUUGCGCGAUUGAAUGAGCCGAUGUCGGAUUAGCUAGUUGGCGGGGUAAAGGCCCACCAAGGCGACGAUCCGUAGCUGGUCUGAGAGGAUGAUCAGCCACACUGGAACUGAGACACGGUCCAGACUCCUACGGGAGGCAGCAGUGGGGAAUAUUGGACAAUGGGCGCAAGCCUGAUCCAGCCAUACCGCGUGGGUGAAGAAGGCCUUCGGGUUGUAAAGCCCUUUUGUUGGGAAAGAAAAGCAGCAGGUUAAUACCCCGCUGCUCUGACGGUACCCAAAGAAUAAGCACCGGCUAACUUCGUG